UAAAGAAUAAAAUGUUUUAAUGUAGGAUUUCAUAUAGGCAAAGGAAAGGCACAGGAGAAAGAGCUAAAUUCAUCACUUGAUAGGUCCAUGCUGGACAUCAUCCAAGAUGCAGUAAACCGCGCUUACAUUAAAAAAAAAAGAAAAAAGAAAAAAAAAAAAAAACACCUUGUAAUAGCACUUUCUUAUCUCCGUGGCAAACACACAAAACAGAUAGCAAAAAGCGGAGGCUCUGAUUUACCGAAACGUGCAUAUAAUAUAUUGUCUACCUGUCCUGGUUAUUUCUUCAUUAAACCUAGAAACUGUUUUUUCUUAAUUACCUACAGCAUGUAUUUGCCUACAUAUUUAUUUUCUCAAUUGACUACUGAGUUCCUCGAAUAAAGGAGACCUUAUUCAUCCUCAGUACCUAGCAUAAUAUAUGAAUGAAUAAAUGAACAAAUGACUGUGAAAAUCCAAAGAUCCAACAGGAACAAUUUGAGAUUAGAAUUUUCAGUACGAAAUGCUUAACAUGGUGUUGAUGGAUUAACAGAAAUCUCCAGUGCCUAAAUUUUCCCCAACCUGAAAGAAAACUAAGCCUAUAUUUUUUCCAAAGAAGACCUCUCAAAAGAGUUGAGGUAAUGAAGAUGAGAGCUGCUAGAACUACAAGAAUAUACGCAAGUCAUCAAACCACAAGGAGGAUAAGCUUUAUACAUCUAUAAAUAGUGGACAAAUAUUGAAUAUUCAAUUAUUCCUUAUCUGCAUGAUAUCAGCACUGUGUUUGUGUUUGAGAAGACUUGAUCAUACUAACGCACCUUCAGUAAGACAACACUCUAGAAUAGAAAAUAUAGUUGAGUCCAUGGUCUUCUUCAUGAUUUAGUAGAAAUGUUCUUUUCUUAUCUACACUCAGCUUUUCUUCCUUGAUUGCUUGACCCUUUGCAAAAUUCCACUCUCUAGACUCAAAUAGUAUAGAGGCCUUUCCAAGUCCUUCUUUUAUUUUUAAAAUUUUCCUAUUUAUUAAAGUAGGUGCAUAGUUUAAGACUAGAUGAAAAGAUACAGAAACAUCUUAGCGAUAUAAAUGACAUGUCAUCUCAGGUUCUGUCCCAUAACAGGACUAUGUGCUGUAUUGUACAAAUACAAUCUAUAGAAUAAGGAAAAUCAUUGAGUAUUUUUGGUACUCUAUCUGAAGCAGCAUAGAGAAAAUGAGAGAGAUAAGAAGGAGACAAAGGAGGAGGCUUUUAACACAGGCAUGGGAGAGUUUCAUAGGGGUGCAGCACCUCUCAACAAGAACAAAGACGUGGAGGAGUUCGGGAGGAACAAAACGACAUAUUAACUGCUGAUUUGAAGGAGCAUCUGCCUGUGUAAAACAGGAAACAGAAAGAUUUAUGGGGGGGUGGAGACUUGGGUGGUUGUGGAGUCUUGGGAUCAGAGAAGGCUUAAGUGCAUACAUAAAAAGGGAGCAGGAGGUUUGUCUCUGGAUGGAAGGAGAAGAUAGAAAUUACUAUUGGAGAGAUAAGUUGUUUCUCUGGGUCUGGUACCAAGCUGGAUGGAUGUAAUCGUACAGAUAGCUAAGCCCUAGGCUAGCAGAACCUAUCAGAGGACAAAACAGGAACAUUUUAUGUCAAUCACUGUUCUAAAGAUAUAUCGUGACAAAAUAACCUGGAAUGUCCAAGCAACUGUGGUUUGGCCCUAUUUCCUCACUGAAUCUCUUCUCCACCUUUGAUAUCCUCAAAGAAACUAAAGUGCUCACAGUUACUUUUGCAGCAAAAAAAAAAAAAAAAAAAAAAAAAAAAAAACAGGGUUAGGAAAAAUUUCCCAAAGCCCAGUUUCAUCAAAAUGCAAUUCAUGUUUAAUAGCUGUGCUUCAGUGAUUACAGGCUCCUGGGUAAAUUGUUCAUGAUUUUCAUAUAGUGUGCUUUAAAUGCAUGCAGGGGGUGCCUCCCUCCCCUCCCCCGCUUCCCAGUUCCACAUAUCUUUUGGUACCUGAAGUGACCAUAUCACUUUUAUUCUUCUCAUAGAUGAUAGAAAAACGUUUUAUUUCUUUGGCUUUUAAGAUGUUCUUUAUAUGUUUUGGCACAUUUUAGCAAUUUAGGAACAGAAAAAGAAAGCAUUCACUAAUAUAGUAUAUUUGCAAAUAGGUACAUAUACUAGCUUUGCAUAAUAUUACUAGGAAUCAAAAUCAAAAGGUUUAAUUUACAGAAUGAAUGACUGCAUAAUGCAGUCUUUAAAUAUACACAUACAGUUUUCUAAAAAUGAAAAGCAACUUGGGAACCACUUUUUUUCAGUUUUGCAUAAAUUCCUUAGAAGCUUUCAUAAACUCAUCCUUCUUUCUCAAGGUAAUUGUGUUUAAAAAAACAUGUAAAAAGCUCAAUAAUUGAUCUGUAUAGACUUAAAUGGAAACAAUUUACAUUUGUUCAUCAGGUAGGAUGUGAAGGGAGGUGCAGGUUGUAAAUGCAUAAAGAUGAUUGAGGCAUUUAUUAUAAUUGGAAGAAUAAUGUUAAUGGGGAAACUUUCUGAUAUUCAUGUGAUUUGUUUUUGUAGAACAACAUAAAUUAAUGUGCUCAGUGUUUGAUUGUGAGGGUUGUUUCAUUCUGACAUGGCACUUUCAGUUUUACUACUAAAUCAAAAUUCAAUAUUAAGUUGUAAAAUAGAAUUCCAAAUUUGUUAUUUUGAAAAUAUAGUUUAUUAUUAUGAAAAUAAUGACAUAGCCAGUCGCUGAUUUCUCUGGACAUGACAGACUUUCCACAGGAGUCAUAAAAUGUUCAUAAUCACAAAUCUGCUCUGGAAAUCCUAAUAAAAACUUGGGAGUGUGGAA